ensembl:lncRNA
AUCACUCUAUUUCAGACAAACACCACAGAAAAAACUGGUCCUGCCUCCACUCACUAUAGGUAAGGUUGAGUGGGGAACUUAGACUUCCAGCUUCACAAGGCUGUAAUGAAGCACAAGUUAAGGUGGUGUCAGAGAAGGCAGAGUAAAGAGAUGAGACUUUCAUGCCCAGUGGCCAACAACAAGAUACUCCUCUCCCCCAGUGUCAGUGAAGAAUGUGUAGCAAGCCUGCAAUUUCAUCCCCCUCAACAGUAACAAGGUGCUCCUUCCUACACUGAGAAAAUGGCAGAGGAUGCUUAGAGGAAAGACAGAAAUUUUACCAAUGCCCUGCAGUAACAUGGUCAUCCCCAUUGCAGUGCCAGUGGAAACCACAUGAGUAGCCAGCAUUCCCAUUCCUGUUUAGGAGUAAGGAAAGUCUCCCUACAUCUUGGAGUGUCAAUGGAGACCUAGUGAGGAACUUGCACUUGUCUCUACCUGGUAGUAGUGAGAUGUCAUUACCUUUCCUCUGCCAGAAGAUAAUCAGAAAAAAAGAGCUAAAACAUAAAAAUUAAAUAAGAUCCAGAAUCUCAUAAUACAAAAAUCCAGUUUUCAAUAAAAUUUAUUCAACAUACCAAGAACCAAGAAGACUCCAAGCUGAGUGAGAAACGACGAUCCACAACCGCCAACACCAAAAUAAUAGAAAUGAUAGAGUUACCCGACAAAGAUUUUAAAGCAGCCAGGACAAAAAUGCUUCAAUAAGCAAUCAUAAACAUUUUUUAAACAAAUGCAAAAGUAAAAAGUCUCAUCAAGUAAAUAGAAGAUACAGAGAAGAACCAAAUGGAGAGUUUUGAAUUGAAAAGUAUAACAAUGUUGUGAGACAUAGAUAGUUACUUAGAAAUAGUCUGAGCUCUUAGGGUAUUAUUUAAUCUUUGAUAGGUGAGUCCAGAGAGGCACUUAGUUUAAGAUUAUUUUUUUCCCCAUUACUAAGGCAAGAUCUUUUUAGUGCCCUAACUGAUACUCCCUGAAUUAUGAGUUUUUCUACUCAGGGCUGUUGGAAAGAGGCACUACUUUUGACACAUGAGCUCCCAGCAGUAUUACCACAUAAUCAUGUCUGAUAGUUCUUUUCUCAGCCUUGGAUAGUUUUCUCACAUACAUUUGAUGAUGAGUAUUCAACUAAAUGUCUAAAUGGAACCCUCCACAGACCUUUGGAGUUCUCUCUCUUGCAGCUCUCUUCUCUCUGAUGCUUAGUUCUGUGAAUUCUUACCGUCUUGUCUUCCCUAGAAUUCCAUCCCAACUUCUUCAAACCAGAAAGACUGACAGAGUUUGCAUGGUUGCUUCCUCCCUGGAUCAUGACUCAGAAACAUUCUCCAGGAAAUAAUAUGGUAAUCAUAUGGCUCACCUCAUUUGCUUUUCAUCAUUUAGGGAUCAUUCUCCUGCUGUCCAAUUUCUUGAGUGCCAUUAUUUUAUUUGUUUUGUCCCAUAUUUCACCUGUGUUAUGAGGAAAAGUAAAUCCAUUUCCUGUAACUCCAUUUUCACUGGAAGUUGAGACUCUUCUUUGAUUUUAAUCCAUUGUGUAUUUAUAUAUUUCUAAACUGCUUUCUUGUAGACAGCCUAUGGUUGUGUCUUAAUUUACCUGCUAUCUAACAAUCUGUGCUUUUCAUUGU